AAGAGAGUAAACUUGAUAUGUUAGGAUCAAGAGAAUCCGAAAAUGAAAUUUGACUCUUUCUUGCAUUCGGACAAGGUUUUGCUAUAGAUAUUCAAUUACAAUCAUGAAGGUAAAGCAUGCUUGUUAUCAUGGAAGUUUUGUAUUCAAGCACAUAAUUUCCAACAUGUAAUUGUGUAAAAUCAUUAUGCCAAUCAAGUGAUUUGAUCAUUC
rnacentral:lncRNA from 1 species